rnacentral:rRNA from 1 species
AACUGGAGGACCGAACGAAUAAGCGUUGAAAAGCUUCUCGAUGACUUGAGGGUAGGGGUGAAAGGCUAAUCAAGCUGGGAAAUAGCUCGUACUCCCCGAAAUGCCUUUAGGGGCAGCGUUGUAAUUAAGAGUCUACUGGAGGUAGAGCUACUGAUUGGAUGCGGGGGCUUCACCGCCUACCAAAUCCUGACAAACUCCGAAUGCCAGUAGUAUGAUUUACAGCAGUGAGCGACCGGGUGCUAAUGUCCGGUUACGAGAGUGGAACAACACAGACCAGCAACUAAGGUCCCCAAGAAUAUGCUAAGUUGAACUAACGAUGUUUUGUUGCAGAGACAGCUAGGAUGUUGGCUUGGAAGCAGCCAUUCAUUCAAAGAGUGCGUAACAGCUCACUAGUCGAGCGACAGAGCGUGGAUAAUAAACGGGCAUCAAGCAUAUCACCGAAGUUCUGGACACGAGAGUGUGGUAGGGGAGCAUUCCAUUCGCGUCGAAGUCGCGCCGUGAGGCGUGGUGGAGCGUAUGGAAAAGCAAAUGUAGGCAUAAGUAACGAUAAUGCGGGAGAGUAACCCGCACACCGCAAGACCAAGGUUUCCUGAUCAACGCUAAUCGGAUCAGGGUUAGUCGGGUCCUAAGGGUAAGCCGAACGGUGAUCUCGAUGGACAAUCGGUUAAUAUUCCGAUACUGACAUAUACCUCGAUGGAGAGACGAAGGAACGUAAGUGUCGCCACCUGACGGAAUAGGUGGUUGAAGAGUGUAGGUAUAGGCGCAGAUUAAGAGUUAGCGCUUGCUGAGACUCGACAGUACGGAGCGGCUACGGCCAAUCCGAUAGUGCACCCAAGUAUACUUCCGAGAAAAUCUUCUAAGUUAUAGUAUAUGUUACCCGUACCGUAAACCGACACAGGUGGUCGAGGAGAGUAUCCUAAGGUGCUCGAGUGAAUCACGGUUAAGGAACUAGGCAAAUUAACCCCGUAACUUCGGGAAAAGGGGUCCCUAUGAAAGUAGGGCGCAGCGAAGAGGUCCAGGCGACUGUUUAUCAAAAACACAGGGCUCUGCAAAUUCGAAAGAAGACGUAUAGGGCCUGACACCUGCCCGGUGCUGGAAGGUUAAGAGGGGAUGUCAUCGCAAGAGAAGCAUUGAAUCGAAGCCCCAGUAAACGGCGGCCGUAACUAUAACGGUCCUAAGGUAGCGAAAUUCCUUGUCGGGUAAGUUCCGACCUGCACGAAUGGUGUAACGAUCUGGACACUGUCUCAACCGUGAGCUCGGUGAAAUUGUAGUCCCGGUGAUGAUGCCGGGUACCCGCAACGGGACGAAAAGACCCCGUGAACCUUUACUAUAGCUUAACGCUGAAUUUGGGUACACAAUGUGUAGGAUAGGCCGGAGGCUUUGAAGCGGGCACGCCAGUGUUCGUGGAGCCGACGUUGAAAUACGGCCCUUUGUGUAUUUGAGUUCUAACCCUGCGAAGGGGACACCGUUUGGUGGGUAGUUUGACUGGGGUGGUCGCCUCCAAAAGCGUAACGGAGGCUUCCCAAGGUACCCUCAGCACGAAUGGUAACCGUGCGCGGAGUGCAAUAGCAUAAGGGUGCUUGACUGUGAGACAUACAAGUCGACCAGGUACGAAAGUAGGGUAUAGUGAUCCGGUGGUUCUGCGUGGACUGGCCAUCGCUCAAAGG